rnacentral:rRNA from 1 species
UACGAACGCUGGCGGCGUGCUUAACACAUGCAAGUCGAACGAUGAAGAAGAGAAACGCGAACUUCGGUUCAACUUUCACUUCGGAUUAGUGGCAGACGGGUGAGUAACGCGUGCGCAACCUACCUCUUACAAAGGGAUAGCCUCGGGAAACCGUGAUUAAUACCAUAUGACACAUUCAUAAGGCAUCUUAAGAUUGUUAAAGCUACGGCGGUAAGAGAUGGGCUCGCGUCCCAUUAGCUAGUUGGUGAGGUAACGGCCCACCAAGGCGACGAUGGGUAACCGGACUGAGAAGGUGAACGGUCAAAGUGGAACUGAGACACGGUCCAAACUCCUACGGGAGGAAGCAGUAGGGAAUAUUGCACGAUGGAGGGAACUCUGAUGCAGCGACGCCGCGUGAGCGAUGAAGGCAUUCGUUUCGUAAAGCUCUGUUCUAUGGGAAGAAAAAGACUGUACCAGAGGAGAAAGCCCCGGCUAAAUACGUG